GAAAUAGAAAGCAUUCUGCACAGUGUUCUGGCUGCUGAAGACCGUCAUACUACUGCAAGUUGUGCUGAGCAGCUGAAUGUCUUCAACACAAAGAUAACAGUGCUGUUUUUCAGCCGAAGUUUAUCUGCAGUAUGUCAGAGGAGCGAGGAAAGGACUCUCCAUCUGAGAUGAGUGUCUCGGAGGAACAGAGGGAAAUAUCUGAGGUUUCCAGCUCUGAGUCUGUAAAAAGUGAUCAGUUGAAAGGUGAUGUACCACUUUUCAAUGAGGAAACACCUACUAAAAG